GGGCGCUUAGCUCAGCCGGGAGAGCAUCUGCCUUACAAGCAGAGGGUCGCAGGUUCGAUCCCUGCAGCGCCCA
rnacentral:tRNA from 1 species